GAUGAAGAACGUAGCGAAAUGCGAUAAGUAAUGUGAAUUGCAGAAUUCAGUGAAUCAUCGAAUCUUUGAACGCACAUUGCGCCCCUUGGUAUUCCGAGGGGCAUGCCUGUUCGAGCGUCAUUAUAAACCCUCAAGCUCAGCUUGGUGUUGGGGCCUGCUGCACUGGCAGCCCGUAAAAUCAGUGGCGGCGCCAUCUGGCUCUAAGCGUAGUAAUUCUUCUCGCUAUGGAGUCCUGGUGGAUGCUUGCCAUCAACCCCCAAUUUUUCUAUGGUUGACCUCGGAUCAGGUAGGGAUACCCGCUGAACUUAAGCAUAUCAAUAAGCGGAUGA
rnacentral:misc_RNA from 1 species